rnacentral:lncRNA from 1 species
AAAACAGAAUCCAGGUUAAUAGACUAUCAAAGUAAGAUACGUGUGGAGAGUGCAGUGCUGUGUAUAUACCUUAACUAUUGCUAAAAUUGUUUUUGGUCAUCUCAAAUCUGCAGGGGACAAUUUUUAAGUUUUCUAGGCGAUAACAAGCUUUCAACACAAAUUAAACCUAUUUUGUCGACUUCUCAAGUUACAUUGACACCAACAUUUGAUUACAAAAAAUGUUGGCUUUUUAUAAGUUAACAUAGUCUUAUUGUUUCUCACUGUGCAUAAUGAGGCCAGUUUACUGUUUUUACAAAGAAUCUUACGAUUAAAUGUGAUUAUAUUACUAAAAUUAAAACUACUGAAAUGUAAAUGACUUGCUAGUAUUUUUACUUUUAUGAUUUUUUAUGAAAAGAGACGCAGGAUUUUUAUUGAUCAAACACAAUUUAAGUUUCAGUGCUAUUGUGUGGUGCGUUUGGUAAACAGUUAGAGCUAUAUAUAUGUAUUACAUAAACAUGCUAGUUUAAUAUAAAAGUUGAAAUACCAUUGGGUUUAAGUGUUAUUUCUUAGCUUGUUGCUUUGUAUGACAAGAAACAAUAAAAUUUACGCAAUACAAUAUGAAAAAUAUGUCGACAUUUUAACUUGGAAAAAAAGUCAACAGACAAAAGGCUUUAUUACAAAUAUUAUUGAAUAUUUAGGCUCUUAAAACAAUUGGAAACGUGUGCUGUGAAUUACUUUUUGACUGCGAAGCAUAUUUGAAUUAUUAUCAUGUAAUGUUUGGUAUGAAAAUGUUUGGAAAAGUAAAUAUUAGUGACAGCUUUACAAGGCACUCAUUUAUCAGAACCAACGUUACAAUUUUUUGUUUUAUGCAAAUUGUGUGGUUAACUUUAACAAAUGUGUUAACAUAUAAUACUUACACACACGAGUUAUCAUUUAAUUUGUUUCUUUUACAAAUAGAAUAAUUAGUAUAAGAUAAGAUUUUUUGUUUGAUGCAAACAUUAAACAAAAUGUUGUAGUAUUUCUCGUCUAGAAGGUAUUAUCAAUUGUAACUUGAGACGGAAAGCAAAAACCAUUGAGCAUAUUUAGAUGACAUAUAAAAAGAAGAUGUGUUAUGACUGCCAAUGAAACAACUCCCCAAAAGAGACCAAAUGACACGUAAAAUAUGCUUAAGUCAUCAGAUGGAUACAAAUAGAAAUAAAUCUAACAAAAACUCAGAGUGGACGUGUACAUUUUUAUCAUUUUUUCUUUGCAGAAAAGGAGUACUUAUUGAUUUGUAUCCAGUCUCCUCAUUAAUGACUUGAUCUUCAGUGGAUAAUACCUUUUAGAUGUCAAAGUAACAUGUACAUAUAAACAGUGCAAUAGUCAUUAGUUAUAUCUAACACGAAGAUAUACAGGACGUAGCCGAGCUUUAUUACAUUCGGACAUAAUAUAUUAUUACAGAAGUUAGAAUUUUUUAUACUACAUUAAAAUUACUAAUAAAUGAU